rnacentral:rRNA from 1 species
UACGUAGGGGGCGAGCGUUGUCCGGAUUUAUUGGGCGUAAAGAGCGUGUAGGCGGCCAGGUAGGUCUGCUGUGAAAACUCGAGGCUCAACCUCGAGACGUCGGCGGAAACCAUCUGGCUAGAGUCCGGAAGAGGAGAGUGGAGUUCCUGGUGUAGCGGUGAAAUGCGUAGAUAUCAGGAGGAACACCUGUGGUGUAGACGGCUUUCUGGACCAUUGCUGACGCUGAGACACGAAAGCGUGGGUAGCAAACAGG